GGGCUUGUGGCUUAGUGGUUAUAGCGCACGCUUGAUAAGCGUGAGGUCGGUAGUUCAAUUCUACCCAGGCCCA